GUGCCAGCAGCCGCGGUAACACGGACCGCACGAACGUUAUUCGGUAUCACUGGGCUUAAAGCGCGUGUAGGCGGGACGGCACGUCGGUCGCUGAAAGCCCCCGGCUCAACCGGGGAACGGGCGCCGAUACGACCGCCCUGGAGGGAUGUAGGGGGACCUGGAACUUCCGGUGGAGCGGUGAAAUGCGUUGAGAUCGGAAGGAACGCCCGUGGCGAAAGCGAGGUCCUGGACAUUUUCUGACGCUGAGACGCGAAAGCCAGGGGAGCGAACGGGAUUAGAUACCCCGGUAGUCCUGGCCGUAAACGAUGGGCACUGGGUAGGGGGCUCGCCGAUGGGCUCCCUGCCGUAGGGAAACCGUGAAGUGCCCCGCCUGGGGAGUAUGGUCGCAAGGCUGAA
rnacentral:rRNA from 1 species